rnacentral:rRNA from 1 species
ACGCUGGCGGCAGGCCUAACACAUGCAAGUCGAGCGGUAGAGAGAAGCUUGCUUCUCUUGAGAGCGGCGGACGGGUGAGUAAUGCCUAGGAAUCUGCCUGGUAGUGGGGGAUAACGUUCGGAAACGGACGCUAAUACCGCAUACGUCCUACGGGAGAAAGCAGGGGACCUUCGGGCCUUGCGCUAUCAGAUGAGCCUAGGUCGGAUUAGCUAGUUGGUGGGGUAAUGGCUCACCAAGGCGACGAUCCGUAACUGGUCUGAGAGGAUGAUCAGUCACACUGGAACUGAGACACGGUCCAGACUCCUACGGGAGGCAGCAGUGGGGAAUACUGGACAAUGGGCGAAAGCCUGAUCCAGCCAUGCCGCGUGUGUGAAGAAGGUCUUCGGAUUGUAAAGCACUUUAAGUUGGGAGGAAGGGUUGUAGAUUAAUACUCUGCAAUUUUGACGUUACCGACAGAAUAAGCACCGGCUAACUCUGUGCCAGCAGCCGCGGUAAUACAGAGGGUGCAAGCGUUAAUCGGAAUUACUGGGCGUAAAGCGCGCGUAGGUGGUUAGUUAAGUUGGAUGUGAAAUCCCCGGGCUCAACCUGGGAACUGCAUUCAAAACUGACUGACUAGAGUAUGGUAGAGGGUGGUGGAAUUUCCUGUGUAGCGGUGAAAUGCGUAGAUAUAGGAAGGAACACCAGUGGCGAAGGCGACCACCUGGACUGAUACUGACACUGAGGUGCGAAAGCGUGGGGAGCAAAC